AUGACCAAUCAUAUCGAGUGGUUCCCGUGACGGGAUGGGACCCACGGCUGGAGACUUUCUCCAGCAAAGAUGGCUGACAGAAAUACUAGGACGGAAGCAAAUGGACUCCAGAAACAACCAGCAAACCAGGCGGUCGUCUUGUGAAACAGUGGAUGUAAAUAAUCUAUCUAGCUAAGACAUUUAAUGCAAAUUGAAUGUACAAUUUUGUAAGCUUGCCUUGCUGAUAUUUGCAAUGCAGAUGAAGUAACGUAGCUAGCUAUUUUCUUGCUUAUUGUGCAGUGGAAGAUACAAUACCUGUAUGCCUAUAGAUGUGUAGCCGAUCUGUAUAUGGACCCUAAAACGUUUGGUAUGAAUAUUAGUUCAGAACCUAGCUAUGAACCUCAGCUAUCAUAGCCAGUUGUAUCAACUUCAAAACUGUCUGAAUUACAUUAAUGAAGCCUAUGGAUUGAGUAGAAUAUAAUAUAACUUUGUGCCAAGGUUGCAAGUCGUAUAUACAUGUAGUUAUUGAGAUCCCACAUUGUAGCCUGUACAUUUAGUAUAUUCACUGAUCAUGUACUCUACCAUGGCAAAUAAAGGUCCAGUUCAGGUA